UGUUUACAUAUUCUCACCUCCCCUACCAUUUUUCAGGUAUCGCGUGCGGUGAGGGUUGAGACGAGACGUGAGAUACGUACGUAGCGGUUGAUAGAGCUUCCGACCAAGGUUAUUCGGUUUAGUUUCUACCCUUGCUAUUCUGUUGAUAUAGGUUAGAUAGUUUAUAUGGUUCAGUAUUUUUAUUACAUUUGAAAAUGUGGGUUUUCAUGAAUCUAAUAAAUGGAUUUGUGGAUUUUGUGAAACGAAAAAUAAUUUUCUACCCCUCGUGGUAACGCGUUUUAAAAGAAAAGAGUUUAUGUGUGGGAAACAACUUUUAAAAGGUUUUUCGUAGUUUUCAUAACUAAGUAUUUCAAAACCCGUUUUUGAGUUGAAAACGUUUUAACUGAUAGUUGUGAUUUUAUGUUCAAAUCAUGAAUGUGAACCUGUGGUGAAUGGUGUAUGGAUAUAUAUAGAUGUUGGAUGUCUGUAUGUUCAGUGUAGUGGUUGUAUCCUGGUUAUGUACUUGUACUUGUGCGAUGCCGUACAAAUAUAGGGGAGACUCUGUCCGUGUGAAUAGUGGACUUCCUAUAUUUGUGGCGGAUCUGGCAUACCCCGUGGUCAGGUUUUCAAAAAAAAAAAAUUCGCUGUGUUUUAACCUAAAAGGGAUCUCGGGGCGUGACAGCAGUUGAUCGAGCAAAUGAAGCGGUUGAAGUUGGAAGUGGU
rnacentral:lncRNA from 1 species